GAUGAACGCUGGCGGCGUGCCUAAUACAUGCAAGUCGAGCGAACAGACGAGGAGCUUGCUCCUCUGACGUUAGCGGCGGACGGGUGAGUAACACGUGGGUAACCUACCUAUAAGACUGGGAUAACUUCGUGAAACCGGAGCUAAUACCGGAUAAUAUAUUGAACCGCAUGGUUCAAUAGUGAAAGACGGUUUUGCUGUCACUUAUAGAUGGAUCCGCGCCGCAUUAGCUAGUUGGUAAGGUAACGGCUUACCAAGGCAACGAUGCGUAGCCGAGCUGAGAGGGUGAUCGGCCACACUGGAACUGAGACACGGUCCAGACUCCUACGGGAGGCAGCAGUAGGGAAUCUUCCGCAAUGGGCGAAAGCCUGACGGAGCAACGCCGCGUGAGUGAUGAAGGUCUUCGGAUCGUAAAACUCUGUUAUUAGGGAAGAACAAAUGUGUAAGUAACUAUGCACGUCUUGACGGUACCUAAUCAGAAAGCCACGGCUAACUACGUG
rnacentral:rRNA from 1 species